rnacentral:rRNA from 2 species
AAAUUGAAGAGUUUGAUCAUGGCUCAGAUUGAACGCUGGCGGCAGGCCUAACACAUGCAAGUCGAACGGUAACAGGAAGCAGCUUGCUGCUUUGCUGACGAGUGGCGGACGGGUGAGUAAUGUCUGGGAAACUGCCUGAUGGAGGGGGAUAACUACUGGAAACGGUGGCUAAUACCGCAUAACGUCGCAAGACCAAAGAGGGGGACCUUCGGGCCUCUUGCCAUCAGAUGUGCCCAGAUGGGAUUAGCUUGUUGGUG